rnacentral:rRNA from 1 species
AUGCUACUCUACUACUCGAUAUGUUCUCUGCACUUGCCGCAUGCAACCUCGCUUUCCUUUAGCUUCAACUUUUCCCAGCCCGGUGGCUACGACGCCCAAAACUUCAGCUUCCAAGGCGACGCAUACUACGACUCCCAGUCUCAGACGAUCGAGCUGACGAAAGCCGGCGGGAGUCCAAACAUCCAGAACAGCGUAGGCCGGGCGUUGUAUGCGCAGCCCGUGCCGCUGUGGGAUGCCAUCACCGGAGAGCUGGCCCGGUUCACCACCUCCUUCACCUUCGAAAUCAAGGUAAACAGUGAACUCAGUGGCGAUGGCAUGACUUUCUUCCUUGGCCAUUACCCUCCGACGAGCAUUCCCGAUCCCCUCGACAAUGGCCGGAACCUCGGCCUCUUCAACAAAAGCGUCGGCACGGUGGCGACCGGCGACAACCGAGUCGUGGCGGUUGAGUUCGACACGUUCUUGAACGUUGAGUCCGACAACAGCGACAGCCACAUGGGCAUCGACGUCAACUCCAUCAUCUCCCGGGCGUACACCAACGUGGCCGUGCCUGGAAAGAACCUCACAUCGAACCUCCCAAUGACUUGCCACAUCAGCUACAGCAAUGACACAAAAAUCCUUGCUGCUGUUCUCCAGAUCGUCGACGUGACCUACCGUGUCAACACAAGUGUUGACCUGAGGCAGAUGCUGCCUAGUGUGGUGGCCAUUGGCUUCUCGGGUGCUACUGGCGUGGCUGUCGAGCAACACCAAAUAAUGUCCUGGUCAUUCAACUCCACCUUGGAUCCGUCGCCUCCACGGAGGAACCCCAAGAUUCCGUGGAAACUACUAGAGUUAUGCACGAGAAGGAAGCAUUACACAGCUCUCGCCAGGGGUCUUGGGCAUUUUGAUUGUCCUAAGCUAGCACGUGCGGCCAACAAAUUUGCAAAGGAAAACAAGCUCGGGGAAGGAGGUUCUGCCUCUGUUUAUCGGGGCCAGCUGACAAAUCCAUCAAGAGCAGUGGCGAUAAAAAUAUUCAAACCGGCAACAUCCCACGAGGGGAGGAAGGCGUUCGAGGAUGAACUCGGGAUUGCUAGUCGCCUGAGGCACCGGAACCUUGUCGAAUUGAUAGGAUGGUGCUACGAUUGCCCGAGGAACCUGAUUGAGUUCGUUUGCUGGUGGCGGGACGACAAGUACACACGUCUAUUCCUUGUGUAUGAGUUGUUGCCACAAGGUAGCCUUGAUCAACACCUACACGGAGGCAACAGUUGGUUGCCAUGGUCCAAGAGGUACGAGAUCAUCCUGGACCUAGGAUCUGCACUGCAAUACCUCCACGUAGAUUGUGAGCAACACAAGCAAUGUGUCGUACAUGGUGAUAUCAAAUCAAGCAACGUGCUGCUUGACCCUUCGUAUGGUGCCAAGUUAGGCGACUUCGGAUUGGCAAGGUCUGUUGACCAAGAAACCGGGGCACAAACCACAGACGUUGUGCAGGAGAUGGUCUCUGGAAGGGAUCCGACGGUGCGUCUCAACAAUAGGCCUCCAUUGGCAUCAUGGGUAAGGAGUUUGUACCAUAGGCAUGCGCUCCUAGAGGCCGUAGAUGGCAGGCUGUUAGGUGGUGAGUCUAGUGCCGGCCGGCAGCAGAUGAAGCGUGCGCUACUCGUUGGCCUCUUAUGCGUGCACCAGGACCCGAUCAGCAGGCCGUCAAUCAACGACACCAUGUAUGCACUGCGAUCAGAGAGGCUUAAAUUGGAUAUGACUCCCCUAGCGCCAGUGACACCACUGUUGAUGCCGUAG